rnacentral:rRNA from 1 species
AAUAAGUGUAUAAAUAAUAUAUAAGAGAUUAAAUGGUAAAUCAUUAAAUUUAAAAGAUUUGGCAGUAUUUAAAAUUUAGAGGAACCUGUGUAGUAAUUGAUAAUCCACGAUAAGAUAUACUUAAUUUAAAAUUUAUGUAUUGCUGUUUUUAAUAUUUAAUUAAGUUAGAUAAAUUUAAUUUAUAAGAUUUAAUCAAAUAAAAUAAUUCAAGUCAAAAUAUAGUUUAGUUAAGAUUUAAUAUGGGUUACUAUUAAUUUAAUUAUUGGAUUAAAAAAUUUAAGUUUUUUAGGAAAAUGGAUUUAAAAGUAAAUUUAAUUAAUUAAUUAUAUUGAAUGUUAGAUUAAAUAUGU